ensembl:snRNA U6 U6 spliceosomal RNA
GUGCUUGCUUCAGCAGCACAUAUACUAAAAUUGGAGCAAUACAGAGAAGAUUAGCACAGCCCCUGCCCAAGGAUGACACACAAAUUUAUGAAGUGUUCCAUUAAAAA